GGCAGUGUAGCCUAGUGGGUAAGGCUUUAGAGCCAGGUGGCUGGGGUUCAGUUCCCACCUCUGCCA
rnacentral:tRNA from 1 species